rnacentral:misc_RNA from 1 species
AUAGGCCGAAUCCCAAGGCUAGAAUGCUCCAUUGCAAUUUGCAAUGGCAUUCUCAACGAACCCACUGGCUCUAAGCGUCCCGGACAAUGCCUUCGAGUCAUGGCUACGCGACUCCGGCUACCUCGAAAUCCUUGACCAACGCUCCUUCUCCACCACAACCAACACUACUACCGCUUCCGCCACCUCUAGCACCCCCAUCACCACCACAAUUACUGGUGGCAUUUUCGUUUCUUUGUUUUCCCAUAUCCUUGCGCUUCUCUCUCUCUUUACUAUUAACCCUCUCUCUAAGCUCACCACCGAUGAUUUCUCGGGACAAACCCCCUCCUGGACCCGCGCCUUUUUCGGUGACUGUGGGUCUUACUCCUUCCCUUCGGGUUCGGACCAGACUAGGCUCCGGGUUCAAGAGAACCUCAAGCGUUAUGCUAGAAACUACGCCUCCCUAUUUAUUCUCUUCUUUGCUUGUACUCUGUAUGUUCUGUCUCUCUUCACUGUAAUAUUUUUUAUUUUAUUUUUUUUAAUGUAAUUACAGUGUUUUUUUCUUUUGUAAUUAGUGUUUGAACUAAGUAAUUGGAGACGACUUCCAUGCAACUAAACUAAUUGGUAAUCUAUCCCUUCUUACUUUUAAGUAUGAAAAAUAAAGCGUGAUUCCUGCAUAUUCAUCUUAAGCAAAGCUCCUCCAACCUUAUUUAUAUCUGCAUCUUCUGGUGUUAAAAUUUAAAUCAGUGCAUAAUUCAAACACUGCUAAAAGGCUCAUGGCGUGCCUCAGGUAUGAAACAUUAUCAGCUUGAAUUUGCAAGAGUUGAAUUGAAAGAGCUGAGAAAACAGAGUAGAUCAAUGAGCUCCAAUUUCAUUCAAGAAGACCAUUUAACAUUAAAUUGGGAUUUACACCGAAAGCAAGCCGAAGAAAACCUACCUAUAAUUCCCAAAAUGUUGAAGGCUAGUUUAGAAUGAAUGGCAUUCAUACAUGAAAAAAAUAUUCUUGACAAAUAUUAUGGCUGAUAAAAUGCAAAUAAAAAAUGCCAUUGUUGAGGUUUCGAUCAAUUGGUCAUUCACAUGACCUCUUUACCACUCUGUUGGAUUACAAUUUUGUUCACAACCUCACCUCUCAGGGUAACAAAAUAGGUAGUCUGCAAUUGAAAGAUGAACUAUGUCAGGCUUUGGCUAGAAUUAAUAGGCAUUUGGGCAUCCAUUAGACACAGAAUUAGUCCAUCAUGAUUCACAGACAGCAUCUCCAGUGACUCUAUUGAAUUUGGAUGCUAAUAUGUAACUUGAUUCUGGACAAAUUCGGCCACUAGAAUAAUCGAAUAUGAAAAUGCUUGGUAGACUAUAAUGAAAUGAAAUGAUUUAGUUCAUUGUUCUCUUUAAAUUUUACUCGACUAAAUUUCAACGGAUUCAAUUAAGUUCUACCAUUGAUACACUAACUCUAAUGUACUACAAAAUGAUAAAGAUACUUACAAUCUCUAGAGAGCUAACUCUAUGAAGAAGAAACCCAUUAUUCAUUUCCUUCUGAAAAACCGAACUUCCAUUUAAAGAAUCCAUGUAAAAUUCACUCUUAAUAGGAUUUGUAAUGCCUAUGUAAUCUACAUCAUCUUCAAAGUCAUGAUUAAUGCAACCCUGUCUGCUUAGGUAUGCAUUCACUCCAUAUGUCAUGAAAAUACGAUGCAGAGGCUCGUAAACUUUUUUUUUCUUCAGUUUGCUCUUCAUUGUCUUCACAAACAACCAUAGGGUGGUAUCCAACAACUAUUAACCUAGAUUUACAUGAAACAAGAGAGCCAUUAAACAAUAGGGAACAAAAAUUGGGAGGGUUUAGAGUUAGAACAGCAGGUCAUGAAGAUAACAUUGGAAUGCCUCAAUGGUCCUAUUUCAAAUGAAAUAGAAACAAUAAUCAUAAUACAUGAUUCUGCAGGAAAAAAAUCUUUAAACAUAAAUGUAGAAUGUGAAUGGCUCAACAUAAACAACAUUUUAAGAUCUUUACAACUUAUUUUCGUUUACAGCCUUGUUAGCAAAAUUCCAAGCCUUAGGCAGAAAAUAACUUACUAAUAAAUAAUACGAUAGUGACUUUUUUACCAGCUAUUAGGAUUGGCCUCUAGUGUUUGUGUCAGCCAAUUUAACUGGUUGUUUCCAAAGCUAUUCAUUGAUCCCUCGAGCAUUGAAUCCUCAAAGUUUCAAAAUAGGUUAAUUUCAGAAAAAAGAAAGGAAAAAUACUACAAACUAUGUUAAAUAAUUGAAUACUAAUGAAACACGAGAACAAAGGAUCUUUGAUAAUGAUAAUCCAUAGACAUUGAAUAUGAAUUUACUAAAAGGCAUAUAGUUCUCCAUCUCACACAAUCAUAUUUUAGAGAAUUAGCUCUAGUGAAAAAGCUUGCAAAAAGAAGUAAAAAAAAAAUUAAGAGAAAAUACAGAGCCUUCAUUGAAGAUAAAGUAUAUGAAGUGUCCUUGGAAAAUUUUAAGUCUAAUGAAUUGAUAACCAGAAAGUAUGUAGAUGUUCUAUGAAUCCAACUUGACCAAUGCCUGACUCACCUUAGCUUGCACUUAACCUUGCAAUGAACAUCACUGCCCAAGUUUAAAUGUUUAAUGACCAUAAGACAUUUCUAGCAAACAAAGUUCACUUUUUUGCUUUUGAUAUUUAUAUACACUGUACAUUUCAUGUAGUUUCAGUCCUGACAUGAAACAAGGCCACAGUUACAUGCUUAGGCUUAGCUAAGAAGAGCCCUGAAACAUAUGCUCCUAUUUCUAUAAGGAACCCUAAUAGAUAAUAUACAUGGCAAGGAAGUAUAAUCAUAGGCAUGGCACUUUAGAUUCGGCACACAUUCACCUAAUGCUUUUGAUUUUUACAGACACAGUUUUACUCACUUUUCAAUAAGAAUUAAGACGGCAAACUGAAAUUUUCUUAUGUCUUUAAUUACCAAUAGUUUGCUCAAGACAUUUUAAAAAUCUUGCAAAGUCAUAGUUUUCAUAUCCUCAGUUUAAGACUUAGACUCAGGGUUAAAAUGCCACAUUUGGUGGCAGAUUUGCAACAUCAAUGUCAGUGAAGUGAAGACAGUAAAACUGGUCCAUUGUUGUUUUGCAUGCCAAAGCCCAACACAGUUUUGUUGAAUCCAAAGCAGAAACCUUUACCAGUUAACAUCUCUACUUUGAGAAGAAGAUAAAUAGCUGAAUAGAACCUGUAACACAAGGGCUGGCUCAGUAUAGAGCAUAGACACUAAUAAAAAAUUUGGGAUUGCAUCUAUACAGGGUAAAACGAGAGUAAUAGGCUCAAUUACCUUGCUGAGACCUAAGAACAUAACACUUUAGUAAUGUUUAACUCUGACCAAAAUGCAAAAUCUAGUCCACAACUUCCACUUACAUAAGAAGAUUUUGAAAAUAAAAAGAGACAACAUGUGCCAAAUCAAUUAUGAUUCGAACUAAAAGGAAAAAAACCAAGCAUAUGCAAGGCAAGGUGGGACUUGGCAAUUGGCACAAAAAACUUAGCUGCUG